rnacentral:lncRNA from 1 species
AAGAAUGAGUUUUUCAAUCUCUUUUACAUUAUUGCAGUAAAUGAUAUGUUUUGAUUUAGUCUACAAUGCUUGUAAUUUUUGGUAAAUCGGUUGGCAGAGAAUUCUCGCACUCAUGUUUUGUUCCGAGGUGAUUCUCCUGUUCUUCGAGCGACAUGGACGACAUCUGAGUCCUAAUGACUUGAAUAGGAUAACCUUCCAGUAUCUUUGGAUCCCCGGUUCGGUCUUCAAAACAUAAACAUUUCACAAUAAUUUCUUGUGGCAACGGACAAGACAUUGAAGAAGAAGAUGAUUUUACAUCAAUCCUCUUCUUAUACUUUGGUGGGGG